GUGGGGAAUCUUGCGCAAUGGGCGAAAGCCUGACGCAGCCAUGCCGCGUGAAUGAUGAAGGUCUUAGGAUUGUAAAAUUCUUUCACCGGGGACGAUAAUGACGGUACCCGGAGAAGAAGCCCCGGCUAACUUCGUGCCAGCAGCCGCGGUAAUACGAAGGGGGCUAGCGUUGCUCGGAAUUACUGGGCGUAAAGGGCGCGUAGGCGGACAGUUUAGUCAGAGGUGAAAGCCCAGGGCUCAACCUUGGAAUUGCCUUUGAUACUGGCUGUCUUGAGUACGGGAGAGGUGAGUGGAACUCCGAGUGUAGAGGUGAAAUUCGUAGAUAUUCGGAAGAACACCAGUGGCGAAGGCGACUCACUGGCCCGUUACUGACGCUGAGGCGCGAAAGCGUGGGGAGCAAAAAGGAUUAGAAACCCCGGUAGUCC
rnacentral:rRNA from 1 species